UGGGGAAUUUUGGACAAUGGGCGCAAGCCUGAUCCAGCCAUGCCGCGUGCGGGAAGAAGGCCUUCGGGUUGUAAACCGCUUUUGUCAGGGAAGAAAUCUUCUGAGUUAAUACCUCGGGAGGAUGACGGUACCUGAAGAAUAAGCACCGGCUAACUACGUGCCAGCAGCCGCGGUAAUACGUAGGGUGCAAGCGUUAAUCGGAAUUACUGGGCGUAAAGCGCGCGCAGGCGGUUUUGUAAGACAGAGGUGAAAUCCCCGGGCUCAACCUGGGAACUGCCUUUGUGACUGCAAGGCUUGAGUGCGGCAGAGGGGGAUGGAAUUCCGCGUGUAGCAGUGAAAUGCGUAGAUAUGCGGAGGAACACCGAUGGCGAAGGCAAUCCCCUGGGCCUGCACUGACGCUCAUGCACGAAAGCGUGGGGAGCAAACAGGAUUAGAUACCCUGGUAGUCCACGCCCUAAAACGAUGUCAACUGGUUGUUGGGAAGGUUCCUUCUCAGUAACGUAGCUAACGCGUGAAGUUGACCGCCUGGGGAGUACGGCCGCAAGGUUG
rnacentral:rRNA from 1 species